UACGGAGGGGGCUAGCGUUGUUCGGAAUUACUGGGCGUAAAGCGCACGUAGGCGGCUUUGUCAGUUAGAGGUGAAAGCCCGGGGCUCAACUCCGGAAUUGCCUUUAAGACUGCAUCGCUAGAAUUGUGGAGAGGUAAGUGGAAUUCCGAGUGUAGAGGUGAAAUUCGUAGAUAUUCGCAAGAACACCAGUGGCGAAGGCGGCUCACUGGCCCGGAACUGACGCUGAGGCGCGAAAGCGUGGGGAGCAAACAGG
rnacentral:rRNA from 1 species